rnacentral:rRNA from 5 species
CAUCCUCCAAGGCUAAAUACUCCUGACUGACCGAUAGUGAACCAGUACCGUGAGGGAAAGGCGAAAAGAACCCCGGCGAGGGGAGUGAAAAAGAACCUGAAACCGUGUACGUACAAGCAGUGGGAGCACAGGUUUACCUGUGUGACUGCGUACCUUUUGUAUAAUGGGUCAGCGACUUAUAUUCUGUAGCAAGGUUAACCGUAUAGGGGAGCCGUAGGGAAACCGAGUCUUAACCGGGCGUUAAGUUGCAGGGUAUAGACCCGAAACCCGGUGAUCUAGCCAUGGGCAGGUUGAAGGUUGGGUAACACUAACUGGAGGACCGAACCGACUAAUGUUGAAAAAUUAGCGGAUGACCUGUGGCU